CUCUUCUUCUUCUUCCCGUUCCGCCACACAAAAAAAACCUGUGCCUCAAAAUAUCCCUCUCUCCCUAUCCUCGGCAAAAUUUCUUAUCUCCGCCUCAUAACCCUCACUCUUCUGCUUCCCCUCUCUGAUAUCUCACAUGGCUCCCCCAUUCUCACUAUCCUUUAGAUUGGCCACCACCGUCGCCAGAAGUCCCUUUUCGUUCUCAACCACUGCGAGAUUGGGGACUAAUUCGAUGUGAUUGGGGAUUAAUUUGAUUUGCAACCUAAAAAGCUUUUCAGCUGGGUAUUUUUGUUGAUAAAUGAGAUUGGCUGUUAAUGGGAACCUCAUGUCAUCCUGAUGUCCGAGUUUAUGGUGGUAACUUCAAUUUGUUGUUUGUGCAACUUCAUCUCUGGUAGUAGCAGAGAAUUCGUACCCUGAAAAGAUGUAGAAGGAGACUCGUGCCCUAAAAAGAUGUAGAAGGAGAUUAAGCAUCCUGAUCGGUCAAAAUGUGAGUCUCUAUUGCGACUUAAUGAUUUUGGGCUGAUGGUCAAUGGAAAUAUGUAGAAGGACUCCAAGCAGUGUUGCAAUUGAAUUUAUAGAGCUCUGCAGAAAAGUUGUGAGCUCAUUUUGGAUUUGUCGUUUCGCUUAAGAGACUUGGGAUUAGGUGGAGUUGAUGGUUCAUGAGUACUUAGAAUGGAGCAGAGAAUAAUAUUUAAUAUUGCUAUGAAUUUCUAGAUGAAGGUUAGAUAAAGCCUUUGAUGUUUAGUUGAUAUUAGAAGCUUUGUAAUAAUAAAAUAUUUCCCUUUAGGUUGAGUUUAAUAUCAAGUUGAGGAAUAUUUAUUUUUAUCAAGUUAUUUGGAUUAAUGUUGACUUUUGGGAAAUAUAGAGAAUAUUUAUUGUU